CCCCCUGAUAAUUACUUCAUCCAGGAGGACAGUGGAGAGGUGAGGAACAACCCUAAGCGUUCGUGUCAGUUUAACCGUUCCACUCUAGAGGAGUGUUCUGGGAUCACAGACCGGACCUACGGUUACCAGAAGGGACAACCCUGUGUUCUCAUCAAACUGAACCGGGUGAUCGGGAUGCUUCCAGGGAAGGACGGCCAAUCUCCCUAUGUCACCUGUGGAGCCAAGGUCAGGCUGGCUAUGUCAACCUACUGUCACUGCUAUGUCACCCUACUGUCACUGCUAUGUCACCCUUAUGUAUUGUCGGAACUCUCUU